UGAAGAGAUAGCGUUCCCAUCUUCCUUCCCAGAAAAGAGCGAAGGCAAAAAGCAGAGGAACAAAAGAGCCUCAUGACUCAGAGGCCAGGGGCAGAUCCCUGAUCACCAGACUCUGGGCUUGAGCCUCACACGCAUCCAGGCUUCCCUUGAGGAUGGGUAACAAGGAUUCUUCAGUGAGCUCUUAAAAUUAUGCAAGCAGGAGUGGAGCUGAGUUUCCCUGUGUGCAGCAGCCAGUCUUUCUCCAGGCCUCACUUCACGCUGUGACCCCACCCCCUCCUCCCCGCCAAGUUGGCAGUGAGACCCUGUCGGAACCGGCCAGAGCCCAGGGUGAAGUACUUGCUCUCUGCCUCCCUGGACCUGGGCACAGGCAGAGCCCAGCAAUUCCCUAAUGAAUCUCCCCCUCCCCCCGCUUCGUCCAACGUGUCCUGGUCCUAUCUUCCUUUAAGAAUGAGGUAUUGGGGGGGCAGGGAACGGGAGGGGGUUAGUUAUCUGAGAAAUUGCCCUGUCUAGACUCUACUGCUACCUCCCAGAGUUCUUGGCAGUAUCCAAAAAGGGUCAGUGCUCACAGAGCACAGUUAAAUAUAGACAUCUAGGAAUAAAAGGCCUAAUUAAGAACCAGGAAGUUACUCUUGGGAAAUUAAAAAAGUUUGCCAAGGCAUCAUUAGCAAUGCCAACGCCUAAUUUGGCAGGGCAGUGCUGAUGCGAGCCCCAGGUCGAGGGGGGAAGCAGAUUUAUCCCCCGAAUCACUAGCGUUUGCAGGAGGUGCCUCUGUGUUUCCCUGCAAGUGACACUUGCUUGGGCAGGCAGGGACAGCCCUGCCAGGGACAGUCGGAACACUGGUCGGUGCCAACCGGGUCUCUCCCGUGAACACUGGUGACCUUAGCCGCUCUUUAGAUGUGUGAGCAAAGUUUUGCUCGUCCAUGAUACACCCACCAGUGGUCAGGAGUCCUCCCUGGUCAGAGCGGCUGCUCAUUUCUCUAAACCCCUACAUUGCUGGUAUGAAGACUGUGAGAUCCUGCAAAACCUUUUGGGUUCAAGAUGCAUUUCUGAGCCUGCAGACUGGAACAUGGACGGACCUGCGUCUUUAUUGGUUCCUAAUGACCUUGCUAGACUUUAUUUACAGGAUUCGAUGCACACUUCAUGUUAAUCUACAUGCUAUGUGGCCACGUUUCAGUAGAUUCUCAGGGGUUAGAAAUGAGGUUUAUUCUUCCUACAAACAUAAAUGAGAAGCUUUACAAGUUCACCCUCCACCCUGGUACAAAAUACACACUUUUAUCUACCCCGCAGCAGCCAGCGGAGGCCAAUCAGCAGCAGCGACCUGGUUCUGACCGUCUCAGGCAAGGCACGUUCUGACCUCACCUGUAAAAGGGGGUUGUCCGCCUCCUAGGGCUCCCGGGCAGAUCAAUGGAGAUAAUGUACUGGAAAGCACUUUGAAAAAUACAAAGUGUGAUUCAAAUGGAUUAUUGACAGCCCGUUGUUAAGUGUUGGUUUGAUUGCUGAAUGUCCUUGAAUGCGAUGAAGCAUCAUUUCUUAUAAACCAUUUUAUAACUCAAACCUUUUCACUAAUUCUGAAUGACCUUCGUUCUAAUCAGUUUGGCUCCCGGGGUUUUAUGCCAAGGCCCAGGAAGCAGGUGCAUGAAAGCUUGUCGAGCCGAGGACGGGGCUUUCAAGAGUGUCCAGUCACACUCCCUGCCCUGCCCCCCAACCAGGAUCUCCUCUGCAGCCCCUCAGAUAUCCCAGCCCGCCUGCUUGGAAAUGGGUGGAGAGCAGAUUCCCAGCCACCCCUCCUACUGAAGAGCGGGUACACUGAGAACCCCAGAGCCCAGAGUCACAUUCCCCAAUCCUUUGGCUCCACGUUGCUAUCCAGAGCAGAACCUGGCAAACUCGACCCUGGCGGGGACCAAUCCUCCCAGUGCCUGUUGCUGAUGUUUGUGAGCUAAGGACGUCUUUUCUAUCUUCACAUCGCUGGGGGAAACAACUUAAAUAGUAUUUUAUAAAAUGAAAAUUACGGGAAAUUCACACUAAGCAUCCACAGCCUCACUGAAGCACAGCCACGCCCACCGCCUCGUCCUCUGUGGCUGACUUGACUUCUCCGGAGCGAUGAGGAGAAACGAGUGGUUGCCGACAGCCCGGCAGCCUGCAGUCACUGGCCCUCUCCGGGAGGAGCCUGCAGGCCUGUCUAGAGCCAUGCUGGCAGUCUCAGCAGCUCAUUAGAUGUGCAAGAGCUAUGCUUGUCCAUGACCCACCCAAAUACGCAUUUCUAAGGUCUGUUAAGGUGCAGGUGCUGAGCUGGGCAACACGCACGCUCAGUACAAAGAACCAGAUCGGGUCCCUCCCCGGUGGCACAACGGGUAAGCGCAGCGCUGC